CCUACGGGUGGCAGCAGUGAGGAAUAUUGGUCAAUGGACGCAAGUCUGAACCAGCCAUACCGCGUGCAGGAAGACGGCUCUAUGAGUUGUAAGCUUCUUUUUUACGAGGGUAAACGCAGAUACGCAUAUCUGUCUGGAAGUAUCGUACGAAUAAAGAUCGGCUAAAUCCGUGCCAGCCGCCGCGGUAAUACGGAGGAUUCAAGCGUUAUCCGGAUUGAUUGGGUUUAAGGGGUGCGUAGGCGGUCGGAUAAGUUAGAGGUGAAAUCCCGAGGCUCAACUUCGGAAUUGCCUCUGAUACUGUUCGGCUAGAGAGUAGUGGCGGUAGGCGGAAUGCAUGGUGUAGCGGUGAAAUGCUUAGAGAUCAGACAGAACACCGAUGGCGAAGGCAGCUUACCAAGCUACUUCUGACGUUGAGGCACGAAAGCGUGGGGAGCAAACAGGAUUAGAUACCCGAGUAGUC
rnacentral:rRNA from 1 species